CUGCUAUUACAUAAAAACAUAAGCCCAUUUUAAAACUAAUUGAACCUAGUGGCACUGGAUGAAAAAUGAGGAAAGGAAACUAACAUUUUGUUGUUGAUCAUGUUGCUCUUGUUCUUCUAGGAGCUUUUCUAGCACAACAUGGUACGAUCCCUCUUAGAGGAACACCCACCCCUCUUUGCCAUACACCUGGAUUGAAAGUGUUACACACAUUUUUUAUGGAGGGGACUAAAAGUGUUCCCACAUUGAUAAUAAAUUGUAACAAGAAGAAACUGAAUUAAUUCUUCAUACUUGCAAAGUAUUAACACCCUUAUACAAAAAAAAAAGAAUCCACAUAUGGAAGGAGAUCCAUUGAGGUAUUUUAUUUAUUUACAUAAAGCCCCUAGUAGCGCCUACAAUCACAUGGAGAUCCAUCCUAGACAUACUCAUUAGACCCAGUUGGAGAAAACAAGAACAUUGAUCC
rnacentral:lncRNA from 1 species